GGUCAAGUGAAGAAGCGCAUACGGUGGAUGCCUUGGCAGUCAGAGGCGAUGAAAGACGUGGUAGCCUGCGAAAAGCUUCGGGGAGUCGGCAAACAGACUUUGAUCCGGAGAUCUCUGAAUGGGGGAACCCACCUAGGAUAACCUAGGUAUCUUGUACUGAAUCCAUAGGUGCAAGAGGCGAACCAGGGGAACUGAAACAUCUAAGUACCCUGAGGAAAAGAAAUCAACCGAGAUUCCCUUAGUAGUGGCGAGCGAACGGGGAUUAGCCCUUAAGCUUCAUUGAUUUUAGCGGAACGCUCUGGAAAGUGCGGCCAUAGUGGGUGAUAGCCCCGUACGCGAAAGGAUCUUUGAAGUGAAAUCGAGUAGGACGGAGCACGAGAAACUUUGUCUGAACAUGGGGGGACCAUCCUCCAAGGCUAAAUACUACUGACUGACCGAUAGUGAACCAGUACCGUGAGGGAAAGGCGAAAAGAACCCCGGAGAGGGGAGUGAAAUAGAACCUGAAACCGUAUGCGUACAAGCAGUGGGAGCCUACUUGUUAGGUGACUGCGUACCUUUUGUAUAAUGGGUCAGCGACUUAUAUUCAGUGGCAAGCUUAACCGUAUAGGGUAGGCGUAGCGAAAGCGAGUCUUAAUAGGGCGUUUAGUCGCUGGGUAUAGACCCGAAACCGGGCGAUCUAUCCAUGAGCAGGUUGAAGGUUAGGUAACACUGACUGGAGGACCGAACCCACUCCCGUUGAAAAGGUAGGGGAUGACUUGUGGAUCGGAGUGAAAGGCUAAUCAAGCUCGGAGAUAGCUGGUUCUCCUCGAAAGCUAUUUAGGUAGCGCCUCAUGUAUCACUCUGGGGGGUAGAGCACUGUUUCGGCUAGGGGGUCAUCCCGACUUACCAAACCGAUGCAAACUCCGAAUACCCAGAAGUGCCGAGCAUGGGAGACACACGGCGGGUGCUAACGUCCGUCGUGAAAAGGGAAACAACCCAGACCGCCAGCUAAGGUCCCAAAGUUGUGGUUAAGUGGUAAACGAUGUGGGAAGGCUUAGACAGCUAGGAGGUUGGCUUAGAAGCAGCCAUCCUUUAAAGAAAGCGUAAUAGCUCACUAGUCGAGUCGGCCUGCGCGGAAGAUGUAACGGGGCUCAAACCACACACCGAAGCUGCGGGUGUCACGUAAGUGACGCGGUAGAGGAGCGUUCUGUAAGCCUGUGAAGGUGAGUUGAGAAGCUUGCUGGAGGUAUCAGAAGUGCGAAUGCUGACAUGAGUAACGACAAUGGGUGUGAAAAACACCCACGCCGAAAGACCAAGGGUUCCUGCGCAACGUUAAUCGACGCAGGGUUAGUCGGUUCCUAAGGCGAGGCUGAAAAGCGUAGUCGAUGGGAAACAGGUUAAUAUUCCUGUACUUCUGGUUACUGCGAUGGAGGGACGGAGAAGGCUAGGCCAGCUUGGCGUUGGUUGUCCAAGUUUAAGGUGGUAGGCUGAAAUCUUAGGUAAAUCCGGGGUUUCAAGGCCGAGAGCUGAUGACGAGUCGUCUUUUAGAUGACGAAGUGGUUGAUGCCAUGCUUCCAAGAAAAGCUUCUAAGCUUCAGGUAACCAGGAACCGUACCCCAAACCGACACAGGUGGUCGGGUAGAGAAUACCAAGGCGCUUGAGAGAACUCGGGUGAAGGAACUAGGCAAAAUGGCACCGUAACUUCGGGAGAAGGUGCGCCGGCUAGGGUGAAGGAUUUACUCCGUAAGCUCUGGCUGGUCGAAGAUACCAGGCCGCUGCGACUGUUUAUUAAAAACACAGCACUCUGCAAACACGAAAGUGGACGUAUAGGGUGUGACGCCUGCCCGGUGCCGGAAGGUUAAUUGAUGGGGUUAGCGCAAGCGAAGCUCUUGAUCGAAGCCCCGGUAAACGGCGGCCGUAACUAUAACGGUCCUAAGGUAGCGAAAUUCCUUGUCGGGUAAGUUCCGACCUGCACGAAUGGCGUAACGAUGGCGGCGCUGUCUCCACCCGAGACUCAGUGAAAUUGAAAUCGCUGUGAAGAUGCAGUGUAUCCGCGGCUAGACGGAAAGACCCCG
rnacentral:rRNA from 1 species